rnacentral:sRNA from 1 species
AUCUUUGGGAGCUUGCUCCUAAAGGUUAGCGGCGGACGGGUGAGUAACACGUGGGCAACCUGCCUGUAAGACUGGGAUAACACCGGGAAACCGGUGCUAAUACCGGAUAAUCCUUUUCCUCUCAUGAGGAAAAGCUGAAAGUCGGUUUCGGCUGACACUUACAGAUGGGCCCGCGGCGCAUUAGCUAGUUGGUGAGGUAACGGCUCACCAAGAGAAAGAUGCGUAGCCGACCUGAGAGGGUGAUCGGCCACACUGUUUUCCUCACACGGCCGAGACUCCUACGGGUCGUUCGUGUGGAUGGUUCUAG